UCCCUGGAGGACUAGUGGUUAGGCCACGGCGCUCUCAACGCUGCGGCCCGGGUUCGAUUCCCGGCCAGGGAG
rnacentral:tRNA from 1 species